rnacentral:rRNA from 1 species
GACGAACGCUGGCGGCGUGCUUAACACAUGCAAGUCGAACGGAAAGGCCCUGCUUUUGUGGGGUGCUCGAGUGGCGAACGGGUGAGUAACACGUGAGUAACCUGCCCUUGACUUUGGGAUAACUUCAGGAAACUGGGGCUAAUACCGGAUAGGAGCUCCUGCUGCAUGGUGGGGGUUGGAAAGUUUCGGCGGUUGGGGAUGGACUCGCGGCUUAUCAGCUUGUUGGUGGGGUAGUGGCUUACCAAGGCUUUGACGGGUAGCCGGCCUGAGAGGGUGACCGGCAACAUUGGGACUGGGAUACGGCCCAGACUCCUACGGGGGGCAGCAGUGGGGAAUAUUGCACAAUGGGCGGAGGCCUGAUGCAGCAACGCCGCGUGCGGGAUGACGGCCUUCGGGUGGUAAACCGCUUUCGCCUGGGACGAAGCGUGAGUGACGGUAAUGGGGAAAGAAGCACCGGCUAACUACGU